UUACUAUGGAGAGUUUGAUCCUGGCUCAGGAUGAACGCUAGCGGCAGGCUUAAUACAUGCAAGUCGAGGGGGCAGCAAUGUCACCGGCGAACGGGUGCGUAACGCGUAUGCAACCUACCUACAUCAGGGGGAUAGCCCUAGGAAACUGGGAUUAACACCGCAUAAUAGAGACUCUGGCAUCAGAGACUUUUGAAAUAUUUAUAGGAUGUAGAUGGGCAUGCGUAGGAUUAGCUAGUUGGUAAGGUAACGGCUUACCAAGGCUACGAUCCUUAGGGGCUCUGAGAGGAGUAUCCCCCACACUGGCACUGAGAUACGGGCCAGACUCCUACGGGAGGCAGCAGUAGGGAAUAUUGGGCAAUGGAGGCAACUCUGACCCAGCCAUGCCGCGUGCAGGAAGACGGUCCUC
rnacentral:rRNA from 1 species